GAUGAACGCUGGCGGCGUGCCUAAUACAUGCAAGUCGAGCGAACAGACGAGGAGCUUGCUCCUCUGACGUUAGCGGCGGACGGGUGAGUAACACGUGGAUAACCUACCUAUAAGACUGGGAUAACUUCGGGAAACCGGAGCUAAUACCGGAUAAUAUAUUGAACCGCAUGGUUCAAUAGUGAAAGACGGUUUUGCUGUCACUUAUAGAUGGAUCCGCGCCGCAUUAGCUAGUUGGUAAGGUAAAGGCUUACCAAGGCAACGAUGCGUAGCCGACCUGAGAGGGUGAUCGGCCACACUGGAACUGAGACACGGUCCAGACUCCUACGGGAGGCAGCAGUGGGGAAUCUUCCGCAAUGGGCGAAAGCCUGACGGAGCAACGCCGCGUGAGUGAUGAAGGUCUUCGGAUCGUAAAACUCUGUUAUUAGGGAAGAACAAAUGUCUAAGUAUCUAUGCACGUCUUGACGGUACCUAAUCAGAAAGCCACGGCUAACUACGUG
rnacentral:rRNA from 1 species